rnacentral:rRNA from 1 species
GAUGAACGCUGGCGGCGUGCCUAAUACAUGCAAGUCGAGCGAACAGACGAGGAGCUUGCUCCUCUGACGUUAGCGGCGGACGGGUGAGUAACACGUGGAUAACCUACCUAUAAGACUGGGAUAACUUCGGGAAACCGGAGCUAAUACCGGAUAAUAUAUUGAACCGCAUGGUUCAAUAGUGAAAGACGGUUUUGCUGUCACUUAUAGAUGGAUCCGCGCCGCAUUAGCUAGUUGGUAAGGUAACGGCUUACCAAGGCAACGAUGCGUAGCCGACCUGAGAGGGUGAUCGGCCACACUGGAACUGAGACACGGUCCAGACUCCUACGGGAGGCAGCAGUGGGGAAUCUUCCGCAAUGGGCGAAAGCCUGACGGAGCAACGCCGCGUGAGUGAUGAAGGUCCUCGGAUCGUAAAACUCUGUUAUUAGGGAAGAACAAAUGUGUAAGUAACUAUGCACGUCUUGACGGUACCUAAUCAGAAAGCCACGGCUAACUACGUG